UACGUAGGGUGCAAGCGUUGUCCGGAAUUAUUGGGCGUAAAGAGCUCGUAGGCGGCCCUGUAAGUCCGUUCUGAAAGUCGGAGGCUCAACCUCCGAAAGCGGAUGGAUACUGCAGGGCUAGAGUCCGGAAGAGGCGAGUGGAAUUCCUGGUGUAGCGGUGGAAUGCGCAGAUAUCAGGAGGAACACCAACGGCGAAGGCAGCUCGCUGGGACGGUACUGACGCUGAGGCGCGAAAGCGUGGGGAGCGAACAGG
rnacentral:rRNA from 1 species